AUGGUAGAAGGCAGUCAAGUAGAUAUGUACAAAGUGAGUGGGGCAGAGGGCAGCACACAUUUUGCUGAAGAGCUGGUGCUGAUCCGGCACAGCGAGAGUGCCUGGAACCUGAAGAACCGCUUCAGCGGAUGGUACGACACCAACCUGAGCCCGGUGGGCCAUGAGGAGGUGAAGCGUGGCGGGCAGGCGCUGCGAGAUGCUGGCUAUGAAUUUGACAUCUGCUUCACCUCAGUGCAGAAAAGAGCAAUCCAGACCCUCUGGACAGUGUUGGAUGCCAUUGACCAGAUGUGGUUGCCAGUGAUGAGGACUUGGCAACCUCAAUGGUGGCACUAUGGGGGUCUCACUGGUUCUCAAUAAAGCAGAAACUGCUGCAAAGCAUGGUGAGGCCCAGGUAAAGAUUUGGAGGUACUCCUAUGAUGUCCCACCACCCUCCAAUGGAGCCUGAAAUCAUCCCUUCUACAGCAACAUCAGUAAGGAUCGCAGGUAUGCCGAUCUUUACUGAGGAUCAGCUACCCUCCUGUGACAGUCUGAGGACACUAUUGCCAGAGCACUGCCCUUCUGGAAUGAAGAAAAUCGUCCCCCAGAUCAAGGAGGGGAAAAGGGUCCUGAUUGCAGCCUGUGGCAACAGCCUUUGUGGCAUUGUCAAGCACUGAAGGGUCUGUCUGAAGAGGCCAUCAGGAGCUGAACCUGCCAACUGGCAUUCCCGUUGUCUAUGAAUUGGACAAAAACUUGAAGCCCAUCAAGCCCAUACAGUUCCUGGGGGGAUUAAGAGACUGUGCGUAAAGCCAUGGAAGCUGUGGCUGCCAGGGCAAGGCCAAGAAGUGAAGGCCAGCCGGCUGACCUGUACCCCAAGAAGCACCCUCCCUGCCCAUUAUUCCUCUGCACCUCUCACACUGACCACAUCUAUCAGUAUAAAAAGGAGUGA